rnacentral:rRNA from 1 species
GACGAACGCUGGCGGCGUGCCUAAUACAUGCCAGUUGAGCGAUGAAGAUUGGUGCUUGCACCAAUUUGAAGAGCAGCGAACGGGUGAGUAACGCGUGGGGAAUCUGCCUUUGAGCGGGGGACAACAUUUGGAAACGAAUGCUAAUACCGCAUAACAACUUUAAACAUAAGUUUUAAGUUUGAAAGAUGCAAUUGCAUCACUCAAAGAUGAUCCCGCGUUGUAUUAGCUAGUUGGUGAGGUAAAGGCUCACCAAGGCGAUGAUACAUAGCCGACCUGAGAGGGUGAUCGGCCACAUUGGGACUGAGACACGGCCCAAACUCCUACGGGAGGCAGCAGUAGGGAAUCUUCGGCAAUGGACGAAAGUCUGACCGAGCAACGCCGCGGGAGUGAAGAAGGUUUUCGGAUCGUAAAGCUCUGUUGGUAGAGAAGAACGUUGGUGAGAGUGGAAAGCUCAUCAAGUGACGGUAACUACCCAGAAAGGGACGGCUAACUACGUG